rnacentral:lncRNA from 1 species
AACACAGCAAGGUGAGCAAUCCAGUAAGCAGCACUUCUCCAUGGUCUCUGCUUCAAUUCCUGACACUCCGGGCUUCUGCUCUGAGUUCCCUGCACAAUGGACCGUAAGCUGUAAGCCAAAAUAAACUCUUUCCUCUCCAAGUUGCUCUUGGUCCUGGUGUUUAUCACAACCAUUGAGAGCGAACUAAAGCAGAGGAAGAAACAUCAAGAGAAACACACUGCGUGAUAGAUGAUGUGUAGAAAAGGAAAUGGUGUCUGCAUGAUGAAGGAUGAAAGGAGUCUGUCUAUACAGACCUCAGAGAACACCUACCAUGAGCUGUCCAGCAUAUAGGCACACUUUGGAAUGGUAAUACUGGGUCAAAGAAAACAUAAAACGUAACAAAGUUAACUUUAGUUAGCUUUAAAGAUAUUAUUUUAAUUAAUUUAUUAAUUAAAUUAAAUGAUAAUCAAAUGAUAAUGUGUUAUAUACGUAUAUAUUGUGAUAUUAUGUAUAUUUAUAUCUAUUAUUUAUAAUUAUAUUUAAUGUGUAAACAGUAUAAUUAUUUACAGUAUAAUAAUGUAGAAUUAACAUAGAAUGUAGAAUUAUAAAAUAAAUAAUAUGUUAUAGUUUGUACUCAUAUAUUAUAAUUAAUUAAAAAUAUCUUUAAAGGUACUACAUUUAAAGAUAA